rnacentral:rRNA from 1 species
AACGAACGCUGGCGGCAGGCCUAACACAUGCAAGUCGAACGCUCCAGCAAUGGAGAGUGGCAGACGGGUGAGUAACACGUGGGAACCUUCCCUAUGGUUCGGAAUAGCUCAGGGAAACUUGGGGUAAUACCGGAUAAGCCCUUCGGGGGAAAGAUUUAUCGCCAUUGGAUGGGCCCGCGUCGGAUUAGCUAGUUGGUGAGGUAACGGCUCACCAAGGCAACGAUCCGUAGCUGGUCUGAGAGGAUGAUCAGCCACACUGGGACUGAGACACGGCCCAGACUCCUACGGGAGGCAGCAGUGGGGAAUAUUGGACAAUGGGCGCAAGCCUGAUCCAGCCAUGCCGCGUGAGUGACGAAGGUCUUC